UUAAUGUGUCUUGUGAAUACUGAUGGGAGU
rnacentral:piRNA from 1 species